AUCGUGCUUUGCGGCACGAGUUGUAGAUUGCAGGUUGGAGUCUGUGUGGAAGGCGGUGUCCAAGUCCCUUGGAACAGGGCGCCCAGGAGGGUGAGAGCCCCGUGGGAUGCCGGCGGAAGCAGUGAGGCCCUUCUGACGAGUCGAGUUGUUUGGGAAUGCAGCUCCAAGCGGGUGGUAAAUUCCAUCUAAGGCUAAAUACUGGCGAGAGACCGAUAGCGAACAAGUACUGUGAAGGAAAGAUGAAAAGCACUUUGAAAAGAGAGUGAAACAGCACGUGAAAUUGUUGAAAGGGAAGGGUAUUGCGCCCGACAUGGGGAUUGCGCACCGCUGCCUCUCGUGGGCGGCGCUCUGGGCUUUCCCUGGGCCAGCAUCGGUUCUUGCUGCAGGAGAAGGGGUUCUGGAACGUGGCUCUUCGGAGUGUUAUAGCCAGGGCCAGAUGCUGCGUGCGGGGACCGAGGACUGCGGCCGUGUAGGUCACGGAUGCUGG
rnacentral:rRNA from 1 species